AGUAACACGUGGAUAACCUACCUAUAAGACUGGGAUAACUUCGGGAAACCGGAGCUAAUACCAGAUAAUAUAUUGAACCGCAUGGUUCAAUAGUGAAAGACGGUUUUGCUGUCACUUAUAGAUGGAUCCGCGCUGCAUUAGCUAGUUGGUAAGGUAACGGCUCACCAAGGCAACGAUGCGUAGCCGACCUGAGAGGGUGAUCGGCCACACUGGAACUGAGACACGGUCCAGACUCCUACGGGAGGCAGCAGUC
rnacentral:rRNA from 1 species